UACGGAGGAUCCAAGCGUUAUCCGGAAUCAUUGGGUUUAAAGGGUCCGUAGGCGGUUUAAUAAGUCAGUGGUGAAAGCCCAUCGCUCAACGGUGGAACGGCCAUUGAUACUGUUAAACUUGAAUUAUUAGGAAGUAACUAGAAUAUGUAGUGUAGCGGUGAAAUGCUUAGAGAUUACAUGGAAUACCAAUUGCGAAGGCAGGUUACUACUAAUGGAUUGACGCUGAUGGACGAAAGCGUGGGUAGCAAACAGG
rnacentral:rRNA from 1 species